rnacentral:rRNA from 1 species
GACGAACGCUGGCGGCGUGCCUAAUACAUGCAAGUUGAGCGCUGAAGGUUGGUACUUGUACCAACUGGAUGAGCAGCGAACGGGUGAGUAACGCGUGGGGAAUCUGCCUUUGAGCGGGGGACAACAUUUGGAAACGAAUGCUAAUACCGCAUAAAAACUUUAAACACAAGUUUUAAGUUUGAAAGAUGCAAUUGCAUCACUCAAACAUGAUCCCGCGUUGUAUUAGCUAGUUGGUGAGGUAAAGGCUCACCAAGGCGAUGAUACAUAGCCGACCUGAGAGGGUGAUCGGCCACAUUGGGACUGAGACACGGCCCAAACUCCUACGGGAGGCAGCAGUAGGGAAUCUUCGGCAAUAGACGAAAGUCUGACCGAGCAACGCCGCGUGAGUGAAGAAGGUUUUCGGAUCGUAAAACUCUGUUGGUAGAGAAGAACGUUGGUGAGAGUGGAAAGCUCAUCAAGUGACGGUAACUACCCAGAAAGGGACGGCUAACUACGUG